UAUUUAUCUCCCUCAUUUUCUAGAAACAAAGACCUAAAUUUCAUUAUCAAAGAAGUUUGCUCCAUCUCUUCAGCUAAGCGCCCUUUCUAGAUUCUCCUCUCUUAUGUGAUAAUGCAAUUUAUGACCUAGAAAUUUCAUUCAUGCUAACCCUUAAGUCUAUUUGUUUGGUUGAAAAAUGUGUUGGGAUUUUGAUUUUUUCAGGAAAUGGAAAGAAAACAAGGUUUCUUCUCAGCAUAUAAGGAAGAGGUUGUGUGUGGGUUAUCGUCGGAAGGUCUUGAGCGAAGAGUCCGUUGAGAAGUGGGUCAUCCAUUACUAGUUUUAUUCGGAGGAAGAAGAUCUCGCUUCAUCAACUCUGUUUCAGUUAGCAACACUCAUAAUCCUAACACUGGUGGUGGUGGUUUCCAUGACUUUACCAGAGCAUCACACAAUUUUAACAAGUUGAAAAUCGAAAGUUCUAUGUCUGAUCAAGAACAGGCGGAAGCUCAAAUGGUCAUAGUGGUGAUGCAGAAAACUACUCCGUAAUCAUAGGUCAUCAGCAGUAAGAGCUGCAUUCCAUUUCAUGACGGUGAAAAAGACAUCAUACACUUGGAUGAAGGCAUGGUCUUGUUAAGGAGAUCGACCAUCUAUCCCUACUUUGCAUUCUUAUGCCAGAGUUUCACCAUUUUGAUUUUGGAGCGAUUUCCUCAAUGAUGAAUCUGAAAAAGUAAUCAAUCUCAUUGACUUUGGAGAGUUAACAGAAAGAAAAUAGUGGAAACAACCUUGCAUUAUGUAACAAGUCGAAAGAAAAUGUUGUAAUGAGAAUAUUGGUACUGCAUUUCUGUCUACAGACUCAGCUUCCGAUGUCUAAUUGUGGAGAAGCAACAUUAUCUUCUUCAAAACGGCAAAUGGUGGCUUUAUGAUGAAUUCAAGUAAUAAUCCUGGUAGUCAGAGUGCUUCUCAGAUGGGAACCAUCAUAUUGUCCCUGUUUUCUUCGCAGUGAUUCCUCUAUGCUUAACUCUGAUAUUUUGAUCUCAAGGUCUACAGCCACACUAAUAUUUCACCUGUUGAUGCAAGUAGCGCACAAACUGUAAGAGGCAAAAAUAUUCCACAUUCUUCAGGGUCAACUCAUGAUUUGGUUCUUCAAAAGGGAAAUGGAGGUGAUCAAAUUUGAAGGGUCGCUACAAGUCAAUUUGAUCUCAUUGAAGUGGCUGAUGAAGAGUUUUUGAACUAUUGUAAAAGUUUGAAUACAUUAUGUUUGAUUUUGUGAAAUAUAUUCUUUGCUAGAAUAUAUUGAACUAUUGUAAGAGUGCUUUUUGAACAAUUGUGUACACAUUUAGAAUAUUGUUGUUUAAGUAUGUGUAAGUACACAAGACGUACUAUCUUUUGAAGUUUAUUGCAAAUCUAUAUAUUUGAAU